UUUGACGCGCCCUGCACAUUUCAGUAAAGCUGUCAAUUGCAUGAGGCACGUUUUUAAACGAAAGUCGACAACGAUCAACCUGUGAGCUUGAAUUAGGCCGAGGAAAUUGGAGAGAAAGAAGGCUUCGAGAUAAAGUCAAGAAAUGUUGGGCACCGGUACAGGAAAGUAAAAGCAAACAUGGUGGAUAUCGCCCCUACAGGCCUUGGUAUAGAGUGCAAGAUCUGGUACUGCAGGCCUGUGAAGUCUGAGGUCACUCGAGGUUGCAGGUCGCUAAAUUCUCCGCCAAACUAACUCUGUAAGGAUCCUGGACUCUUCUUGGAUACUGAGUGAGUGAGACGGAUCUGCAUCAACAGUCAAUGGAGAAACCUACUGUCGCUUCAAAUCGUCCAUCAACGCCAUUUCAGCCGUCUACCUUAUAUUUGAUGGGAACCCGUAUUCCUUCCUGUA